GGAGGGCGCGAGCGUUGUUCGGAAUUACUGGGCGUAAAGCGCGUGUAGGCGGCCAGGUAAGUCGGAUGUGAAAGCCCGGGGCCCAACCCCGGAACUGCACCCGAUACUGCCAGGCUGGAGUCCCGGAGAGGAUGGCGGAAUUUCCGGUGUAGAGGUGAAAUUCGUAGAUAUCGGAAGGAACACCAGUGGCGAAGGCGGCCAUCUGGACGGUGACUGACGCUGAGACGCGAAAGCGUGGGGAGCAAACAGGAUUAGAUACCCUGGUAGUCCACGCCGUAAACGUUGGGUGCUAGACGUCGGGGGUAUUGACCCCUCCGGUGUCGAAGCUAACGCAUUAAGCACCCCGCCUGGGGAGUACGGCCGCAAGGCUAAA
rnacentral:rRNA from 1 species